rnacentral:siRNA from 1 species
ACCGUAUAUCCCGCGUUUGCCAGA